UAAACAAUGUUUGAGAGAAAUGGUAAUAUUAUGUAUCUAGAAUGAAUUUUAGGUCCAUCUCAUGAAAAAUUGGAGCAGAAACAAAGGUGUUGCAUUUAUAUUUUUGUUUAGUGUAUAUCUUCUCAAUGUAAUCAGUUUCAAAGUUAAUACCACAAAUUGAUCUAAAGAAUGAAUUCACCAACUAUUCUUGAGAUGCUGCAAAUGAUCAGUCUUUAUUUACGUUUCGUGAGUUUAUUACAAACAUCAGUUAAUACAUUUUACAAAUGGAUCAAACAUAAUUUAUAGUUUUAUGCAUUGAAUUAAGAAAAUGGUUAAACCCAAAGCUUUAUGGCAGUGAUAUGAAAUAACUGAUCUGUAAUAUGUCAUGUGAAUCCACGUGGGUGAACAAAUUCAACUGAGCAGAAAAUUAGAAAAAUUAAAUGUGAGUUAUUGAACAUUAGAUCCAUUUUUUUCUAAGACUGUUAGUUAAUGACUUGAUUUGUGAUAAUCAGAUCUCUUUGCUCUCUCUCACAGAAUCCUGGCUGCAGCAAGAUGACUAUGUUAGUUUAAACGAGUCGACUCAUUCAAAUGAUUUAAAUCAUCAUAUUGCUCGAAGUACAGGGCGAGGAGGAGGAGUAGCAACCAUUUUUCAUUCGGACUUAUUAAUCAGUCCCUUACCAAUUAAUAGCUACAGUUCGUUCGAACAUCGUAUUUUUAGUUUUCCUAAUCCAGAUUGCAAAACUGUAAAACCACUCUUGUUUGUAGUUUUAUAUCAUCCACCAGGCCCUUACUCUGAGUUUUGGAUCAGAUCUCUGAUUUUUUAUCUGAUUUGGUGCUAAAUACUGAUAAGAUCAUUAUAGUGGGGGAUUUUAACAUUCAUGUGGACAUUGAAAAUGAUAGCCUCAAUGUAGCCUUUAGUAAUAUCCUAGACUCAAUUGGUUUUACUCAAAGAAUACAUAGCUCCACCCACUCCUGCCAUCAUACAUUGGACCUUGUGCUGACUUAUGGCAUUGAGUGUGAGGAAAUAACAAUAUUUCCACAUAAUCCAGUCCUCUCGGACCACUUUCUGAUAACCUUUGAGUUUUUAUAACUGAGUUCUCGAGACAUGAAUGUAAAUUUCACUAUAGUCGGUCUCUAUCUGACAAUGCAGUUGCAUCUUUUAAAUCAACUGUUCCAUCUUUACUGUCCUCAGCAUCUCAGAGGCAUGUAGCAGAGGGCAAUAUUUUCAGUUCUAGCCCCUCACAAAUUGAUGCCUUAGUUCAUCAUGUUACUUCCUCUUUACGAGUGGCAUUAGAUGAUGUAGACCCUUUAAAAAAGAAGGUAAUUAGGGACAGGAAGUUGGCUCCCUGGUUUAAUUCUCAUUUACGAGCCUUAAAACAAAACUCUAGAAAAUUGGAGAGAACAAGGCGCUCUACGCACCAUGAGGAGGCCUACCUAUCCUGGAAAAAUAGUCUUCUGCUUUAUAAAAAUAAGCCUCGACAAACUAGAACUGCUUAUUUCUCAGCUUUAAUUGAGGAGAAUAAGAAUAAUCCUAAAUUUCUUUUCAGUACAGUUGCCAAACUUACACAGAAUCAUGGCUCUGAGCCAUCUGUUCCCUUAGCCCUCAGCAGUAAUGACUUCAUGGGAUUUUUCACAAGUAAAAGUAAUUAUAUUAGAAACAAAAUCUUUAGCAUCCUCCCUAAUGCGAUUUCUUCUUCCUCAGUAAGUGCGGCAGCAUCAGAGGUGACUGUAGAACCUCAUCUGUGCUUGAACCGUUUUGAUCCAGUUGAGCUUUCAGAGUUAUCAAAAAUAUUAGCUUAAUCUAAACCUUCCACUUGCAUUUUGGAUCAAAUCCCAACCAAAUUAUUUAAAGAUGCAUUUCCUUUGGUUACUGCCCCCAUUCUAGAUAUAAUCAAUCUAUCCUUAGUAAAUGGGUAUGUACCACAGGAUUUUAAGGUUGCCGUAAUCAAACCUUCAUUUAAGAAGCCUUCUCUGGAUCCAGAUGGUCCAAUGAAUUAUUGACCAAUAUCUAACCUUCCAUUUUUAUCCAAAGUCCUGGAGAAAAUAGUGGCCAUCCAAGUAUGUCAGCAUUUAAACACUAAUGAUCUGUUUGAGGAAUUUCAGUCUGGUUUUACAGUAUCACAGCACUGAAACUGUGUUAGUGAGAGAUACAAAUGAUAUUCUCAUGGCCUCAGAUAAGAAUCUUGUGUCUGUGCUGCUUUUGACACAGUAGACCACAAUGUUCUAGUAUUAAGACUUGAACAUGUUGUAGGGAUCAAAGAAACAGCGCUAGGCUGGUUUAAAUCCUACCUGUCUGAUAGAUUUCAUUUUGUAAAUGGACAUGACAAAUCUUCUUCAUACUCCAGGGUUACUUGUGGAGUACCACAGGGUUCAGUGCUUGGACCAAUUCUUUUUACUAUAUACAUGCUCCCAAUUGGUAAAAUCAUUAGACAGCAUGGGAUAAACUUCCACUGUUAUGCUGAUGAUACUCAGUUAUAUUUAUCCAUUAACCCUGAUGAACCUAAUCGGUUGGGUAGAUUACAGGCUUGUCUUGAGGACAUAAAAGAUUGGAUGACUCUAAACUUUUUGCUUUUAAAUCAAGACAAGACGGAAGUUCUCAUCUUUGGACCAGAAAUCCAGAAAAGGAAAUUGCUUAAUCAAUCACCUGACCUGAACGGCAUUAAAUUAGUCUCCGAGAACAAAGUAAGGAACCUUGGUGUUAUCUUUGACCAGGACAUGUCAUUCAAAUCCCAGGUUAAUCAGGUUUGUAGGAUUUUCUUUUUCCACCUUUGGAAUAUUGCUAAGAUUAGAAGCAUCCUUUCCAGGAGUGAUGCUGAAAAACUAGUUCAUGCAUUUAUUACAUCAAGACUGGAUUACUGCAAUUCAUUACUCUCAGAAAGUCCACAGAAUGUAGUUAAAAGUCUUCAGCUUGUCCAAAAUGCUGCAGCUAGAGUUCUGAGAGAUUAUCUCUCUCCUGUCUUAGCUUCCCUACAUUGGCUACCUGUUAAAUUUAUAAUAGAUUUUAAGAUCCUUCUUCUCACAUAUAAAGCUCUUAAUAAUCAAGCUCCAUCAUACAUCAGUGAUCUGAUUGUUCCAUACGUUCCUAACUGAGCACUUCGCUCUCAGACUGCAGGUUUACUGGUGGUUCCCAGAAUAUCUAAAAUUAGGAUGGGAGGCAGAUCUUUUAGUUAUCAGGCUCCUCUCCUGUGGAACCAGCUCCCAGCCUUAGUCCGUGAGGCAGACACCUUGUCUACUUUUAAGACUAGGCUUAAAACAUUUUUAUUUGAUAGGGCUUAUGGUUAAAAUCUUAUGUUAGCCUAGAUCUGGACAAGUGGGGGAGUAGAGGGAGGUGGAGUGUACAGUCGGUAAAGACGGCUCUCCCUUGCCCUGCCUCCAACAUGCCUCCAUCUAAAAAGGCUAGGUUAUCCAGAGUUAUCUCUGUAGUUAUGCUGCUAUAGGCUUAGACUGCUGGAGGACACACUGACCACUUUUCACACUCUACUACUUUCUUCUACAGUCUGCUCUUUAACUGUACUAUUUUCUGCAAUUUCAUCUGUUAACUUUAUUUUUUCUCUAAGUAUUUUUCUCCCCAGAAGAAGCUACAAUUAUAUUCUGCUGAGCUGUGGUGGCCUCAUGGAGGGGGCCAUCGUCUAGCACACUGCUGCUAACCACUUAAACACUCUCCCUCUCCUGAUAAUAACUUUUUGCUUUCCUUGACGUUGGAUGUGUUACUACUAGUUUAUCCGUUUAACAAUAGAUUAACUAGGAUAAAUACAAUAAAGUUUAUCUCUCGCCAAAUGAAAUAUUUACUAAGCAAUCACAAUGUAACCUUUGUUUGUGUGUGUGUGUGCGUGCGUGUGUGUGUGUGUGUGUGUGUGUGUGUGUUUGUGUGUGUGUGUGUGUGUGUCUGCUCUGUCUUCUCGAUCCCCAGUGAGUCGUGGAGGAUGGCUGCUUAUACUGAGCCAGGAUCCUCUGGAGGUUUCUUCCUGUUAAAGGGGAGUUUUCCUCUCCACUGUUGCUAAAUGCUUGCUUAGUAUGAGGAUUGCUGUAAAGACUCUGACACUAGUCAGUGACUUGAUGCAAUCUGCUGGGUUCCUUAUAUAGGAAACAUUAUUUCUGAUUGGCUUAAUGAACUGACCUGGAUUGGAAUGUUUAUUAUGUGAAGUGCCUUGAGACGACUCUUGUCGUGAUUUGGCGCUUUAUAAAUAAACUUGAAUUGAAAUGAAUUAAAUCUUCUGGUUAAACAUUCAAAGACCAAUCAGGUUGGAUUUCUAUAUUUAUAAAGAAAUUCACAUCUUAUUGGUCAAAUGUAGUGUAGUAUAUUGAGCUUAAAAAGCACCCAAAAUACAUACGUAUGCUAACCCUACACUACUCAAACGUUGUGAUUUAUAAAGAAAAAAUUCACGGGAAAAUUUAGCAACAUUUAGUAAACUCUGACUGUGGCUGGUAAGGCUUCCUUGGCCUUGGUUUACUCGUGCAUGUUUAAUGAUGAGGAGACAGGCUUCCAGAGUACUCCGAUGAAAAGAUAACAAAAAAUUUAUUCCACAGCUUGUAAUCUUACAGGAGUGUCCAAAAUUAAGUUUUCCUAAGGUUUAAACAAAACAAUGCUAUGGUAAGAAACCAUAUUGCUCUACACCUCACCACGCUCAGCUGGAUGUAACUGUUUUUUACAGCCCCACCCAGUGUGUCUGCCUUUUUCUUAAAGUGACAGUAACCUAUUUUCUACCCUUCAUGAAUUGACCAAAACAAGACUUCUUUUAACUUAUUAACAUUUUUAAAUACACAAAUGAAAUUGUUUUUAGCUUAACUUAUUCACAGACUUAAACAUAUAUGAACUCAAACUUGGCUUCCACACUGACCCUAGUGUAAGCACAUUUUGGAGACAGGAAACUGGUAGUGCAGUUAUGAGAUGGUGAGAGAGUGAAUUUAAAGAGCAAGUCACUCCCAAAUAAACCUUAUUCUUGCUGAUAAACUACAAGUGUCUAAAUAAUGCCUUAAACAAGUAUAGUCACUAUUGUGGCAUUUUAGUGCAUCUUGUUUAAAAUCCAAAUCCAUUCAUCCAUCCAUUUUCAUCCACUUGUCCACAGUCGGGACUCGUGAGCUGUCGAGCUCAACCCGAACACCAACGAACAGCCUUGGGCGGUAGCUCUAUCGCCCUUCGGGCUUCCGAAUUGACGACGCUGAUUGCAUGCAUUCCCAUUCCUAUGAGUUUGAUUUUCUUGUCAGCAAUUGGCUGGCUGCUUCACUGCCGUUUGGGCGAUCUUUCUGUCGCUUCUCACCAAUGAUAUAGAUAUAUAUAUAUAUAUAUAUGUGAUUUGUUUUUGUUACAAAACACACAAGUAACUUAGAAUAUAAGAAUAAUAAGAAUAAGAAUAAGAACAACUUUAUUUAUCCCGAGGGAAAUUUUUGUGUCAUGUACAUGCUCAAAGCAGUUGGAGAGACAAAGGAACAGGUGAAAUAGAAAUAUGAUAUACAAUAUAUUCAUUAAAAAAAUAAAAAAUAAAAAAAUAAAAAAAUAAAAAUAAUUAAUUAAAUACAUGACUGCAUCCUUGUGGAUAAGUAAUUAAGCUGUCGGUGCAGGCGAUUCACAAAAGUGAUUAAAGUAUUGUGUAAAAGAAUAUGGGUUUGUAGCAGCAUAUGAUAUGAUGGGGGGAUAAAAACAUAUUUACAAUCAGAACUCUUGGGUAAUAUUGCACAGUCGGUGAGGGCACAGAAUAACCAAGGUAAUAGUAUUUGGAGAAUCACCUACAGCGUGAGGAAGAGUUAAACAGUCCUAUUGCCACCGGUACGAAGGAUUUCCUGUGGCGGUCAGUUCUGCAUUUCGGGGCAAUGAGUCUUUUGCUGCGUGUGCUUCGGUGGUCCAUCAUGUGGGCGUGCAUGGAGUGGGAGGGGUUGUCCAUGAUAGAGAGAAGCUUUUUUAGCAUUCUCCUCUCAGACACCUCCUCCAGGUUCUCCAGUCUAACACCCAGGACAGACCCAGCCCUUCUAAUCAGCUUGUUCAGCCGGUUGGCAUCUGCUAUCUUCACCCCACUGCCCCAGCACACAGCUGCAAAGAACACAACGCUCUCCAACACCGAGUGGUAGAACAUGGUCAGCAUUGUCCUCCCAACAUUGAAGGACCAAUAUGUGAUUAUUGUUAAUUUUAUUUAUUUAUUUUUUUAAAUAAAAAUUAAAAACACUGGGGAAAACUGGGGGGGGGGCACCCUAUCGCCCUCUAGUGGCCAGCCGCCACUGGUCUGCAACUGGUGGCUCUGGGGAUACAUGUGGCUGUUCUGUUGUUUUGACAUAAACAGAUUAACUGUUCUCACUUGAGCUAAUACAUUUGGUUUUCCAAGUCUCGUCUGUUCUAUGUGUUUUGUACAAAAGGUUAAAGCAGAUAUACAGUGAGGCGUGAUGGUUUUAGGUGUCCUACCUGUUCAUCUGCAUCAUGACUGCUGAUCUCUGGAAGAAGGCAACAGCAAGACGUUCAUCUUUGGCGAUUGUGAAGUCUAAAGACUGGACACCAGAGACAACAGGGUCAGAACAACGCUUUGUCAGACAUGACAUGCAGACUUGGGUGAUUUGAGAUGGUCAGGCUGUGGAUUCCUGAAGUCAGGUAAUCAGUAAGUUAACAGUAAAAGGGUUUAUUCCACAUAUUGCUGUUAUCCAAAUUUGUUUUUAUUUUCACUAAUCUUAAUUCCUUAUGGGUACAUUCACAUGUAGGUUGAUUACUAACUUCACUGAUUUACAUUUUUAGUGCUCUUUGACACUCAUAUAUCUACUUUUCUAUUUUAUUUACAGUUGAUUAAGUUUUGAAACUUUAUGAUUAACUUUAUUAAUUUACCAGUAAUGGGCUACAACCAUUUUUGCCCUCAUUUUGAUAAAAUUUUUGCUUAGUAAGGUGAUUCUAUUUCUCCCAUACAUAUAGUAUAGGGUUUUAUUACUUUAUUCUUUUACACCACUUUUUCCAGUACAUGUUGUGUAUUGCAUUCAUUUCUUCACUUGAACUCUGUUCGGAUAAUUUGCUUCGCAUAGUACAUACAGGUACACAUAGUGCCAGGUUUCUUUUUCUUUAUUGAUUUGCAUCAGAGGCCAUCUUGUUGUGUCUACAUUAAAGUGCCCUGUGUUGUGCUUUCUCUCCUCUGCUGAGUUUCAUCGAUGAUCAUCGAUUCCUGGGGUUAGCCUAUGAUUCGUCAGCGGAUGCUGAUGCUUGGUGUUCCGGCUCGCUGGACCUGGACGUCUGUGGGUUCCGGUUUUGGCUGCUGGGACACUUCGCUCGCUGGGAUCUGACCUGUUGCUGCUCAUUUUCCUGCUACUUUGGAUUACGCUAAGUGCAAUUGCAAAGAUCAAAGUACUGUUUGGAAUUAUUCUCUACCCGUGGAUAUACAAAGUCUCUGCUACUUCUGCUUCAAAUUAUUCCCUCCACGUGAAUAUAUUAAUGUUCUGCUGACUGCUGAAUUGUGUGCUUUUGAGGAAAUUACACUCUGCCUGGGAUAAUGUUGCAUUGAUCUCUCGACAAGGUCCUUCAGGACUCCAGUUGUUCAACGCCAGGUGGUCUCUGAUCGGACCACCGUGCCCUUGAAAAGGGGGGCCUGUAGCGUCAUGAAGGGACUGUUUUCCCCUCUCUCCUCAUGAAGAACUUAUCUCUGUGAGAUAUUGCUCAAGGCCUUUGAUGCCUCUGCAUCUAAACUGUCUUAACUAGCUAUUUGCCUCCCCCUACAGUUCAAGAAGAAAGUCGACCAAGAACUCUUUUCUCUAUUAAAUAAUAAUCAAAUAUC